CGUAGAAGACAAGUGUUAUUCAUCUUUAACAGGUUUAAAGGGUACCUAGACUGAAAAUCAAGCCAUAGAAGGGACUAAUUUCUAGAGUUUAUUUUCAAGGUGGAACUAUCUGAGUAACAAUAAAAUGUACAAAUACAUUUGGGACGGAUAGCGGCGAAGGCAAUCUUGUAUGUAAAACUGACGUUGAGGGACGAAGCCCGGGGAGCGAGAAGGAUU
rnacentral:rRNA from 1 species